GAAAGUUUUCACUUAAAUCUAAAAGUUGAAGAGUUUGAGCAGAUAAGCCCCAUAUCCAUUUGGGGAUAAACCCAUGGAUUUUGUUACCACCAAGAUCAAGAUACUCCAGUUUGUCUUGACUCGAAAGAAAAUUCGGGAACUUGGAUAAGUUGCAAGAAGCCAGUGUUAACAAGGUAAACUUUGGAACAGUAACAUUAAUAACAGUUGUACUGAGCAAUGAAAACUGAUUACUAGACAGUAGAAGCGCCUUCAGCAUUUUAAGAUUAGAAAGGAUUCUAAUUUGUAGGUGCCGCUGAGGUGGUUACCAAAUAAAUCAAGAAAUUUAAGAUUUUUAAGGAUAAAGAUUGAUUUUGGUAUCGAACCCCAAAAUUCAUUAAAACUGAGAGCCAAAGUGGUCAGCCCAGUAAGAUUACCAAACCAAGAUGGGAUUCGUUCAGAAAAUUGAUUCUGGGAAAGUCUCAAAUAUGUAAGCUUGGUAAGGUUUUCUAAAUAAGCUUGGUCAAAUUGAAUCCUAAUUUUGUGGUUCCAUAUGCGUAUGAUUUUUAGUAAGAAUAAAAAUUUUGAAUCUUCAAAUCAAAUAUUCAUUUAUAUAUUUAAAGUAAUUGUUUAAAUUUUAAGGUUUUUAAAAAAUAAAUUUAAUGAUUUCAAGAAUCUAAUUAAUUAAAUAUUUUAUUUUUAAUUAUAAUUAACAAAAAUAAAAAUCAACAAGAAAAAUUCAUUUCUUCUCUUUCAACUAUUAUUAUAUAUAUUGUUCACAAUUAUUAUUUUUAAGUAAAAUAAUUUUAAGUUCGGGAGCUCAAGUUAUUAACUCUCUUAUUUAUUACUUUUUAAUAUAUCUAUAAUCAUUAUUUUUUUAAAAAAAUCUUUCUAUAAUUAAUAAAUAAUAGGUCUUAAAUAUGCGAAUAAUAAUGAUAAAUGUAUUAGAAAUAUUGAAAAAAAUGCUCACUUAAAAUACAAAAUAAACUAUGCACCAAAAUGAAAAGAGUUAAUAUGUAGUUUGUCCCUGAACUUGUCCAAAAGCAUUUAGUUAGUAUUUAAACUUAUAUUUCGUCAUCUAAGUUAGUACCUUUACACUAAUACUGUUAGUUUAUGACGUGACAUUGAUAGAGAAUUUAUUGGUUAUAAAUUUAUUUUUGAAAAUAAUUAUAAUAAUUAUUAUUUGCAUCUAAAAAAAUUCAUUUGAAUAAAUAAAUUUUCAAAAAAGAUAGGUUACUUAGAAACAUAAUUUUUUUUUUAAAAAAAUUGUAAUGUUAUGAAAAAAUGUAACUUGUUCCAUAAGUAAUGUGUUAAGUUACAGUUUGUUUAGUGAAAAAUGCACUCAACCUUAAGUAAUACUUAAUAAUAUCAUUUUUGCUAUUCUGUUUUUGUUAUUUUAUAACUUCUUGGAUUUAAGAGACAAAAGUAAAGCCUUAAGGAUAAAGAAUCAUGCAUAAAUCUUUUUCUUGCAUCAUAAUUUUCUAACCUGGUUUUCGAGAUGUGAUAAUUCCACCAAAAAAAUUACUUUAACAUGAUGAGUACAAAUUAGUAUUUUUUUUUAAGAAAAAAAAAACUAACAUUAGCACUUCAACCGAAGUAGUUAAAGGUGUUAAGUAUUUUGAUUAACUAAUGUCAUUAUAAUAGUAUAGAGACCAAGUUUUACCAAAUAAAAGGAUAGGAACUAAAUCUUAAAUUUAAACAUAGUAAAAAGAUCAUAACCAUAAUUAAGGCUAAGUGUUGGAUUGAAUCGAGAAAAAACAUUUCGAGUUAAUCUAGUUGAUGAAUUUUAUUUUAUUUAGUUUUGACAAAGCUUACAAAUAAACAGAUUACAUUCUAUUAAUUUUGAAACAAUUUUUUUAUAUUUUACAGAUGCGAUUAUUAGAUUUAUUAUUCCAUAUUUUGUGCCCAAAAAAAUAUUCAUUAACCAAAUUCAUUUUAAUUUUAUUACAAAUAAUUUAUUACCAAAAUUCAAAUUACUCGUGAGAAUAAAGAUUUUGGAUAUUGAAACCAAAUAUCCAUUUAUAAUUUAAAGUUAUUUUUUAAAUUGUAAAAUUAAAAAAAAUUAAUAUGGUAUAUCCAAGAGUCUAAUUAAUGAAAUAUUUUAUUUUUAAUUAUAAUUAAGUUUUUUAUUGAGUUGGUGUAACCUUCAACUAAGUCACCAACUCAGGAAAAUUAUCGCCCUUCUAUAAUUAAAACAAGUUAUAUUAUUUGAGCAUAAAUUAAUCUUUUUUAUUUUAAAAAAAUAAGCAUAUGGUGAGAUUUGAACCUAUACUAAUUGAGUUAGUAAAACCUUUAAUUUAUCACUCAACUAAAACUUUAUUUUGAUAUUUUUAUACAUUUCAAUUUUUACUAUGUACACUAUAUUCCCUCUAUCAAGUGUGUGUGUGUCUACACAUAUAUAGAUAGAUAGAUAGACAGAUAGAUAGAUAUUAAUGUAUUUGAUUGAGUUUGAGUCACAAUUUAAUUUGACACCGACUUAAGAUUGAUGGCAAUACCGGGAAAAAAAAUUUAAUCUAAUAUUUUUCAUUUUAACAGCGUACACAUUUCAUGUGUUAUUAUUAAUUAGUUCGAACCAUACAUUUCAUUAUUUAUUGUAUGUUAUUUUUAAACAUACAUAUGAAUCCUAAUUUUGUGGUUUCCAUAUGCGUAUGAUAGGAUUUUUAGUAAGAAUAAAAAUUUUAGAUAUUCAAAUCAAAUAUUCAUUUAUAUAUUUAAAGUAAUUGUUUUAAUUUUAAGUUUUUAAAAAAAUAAAUUUAAUGAUUUCAAGAAUCUAAUUAAUUAAAUAUUUUAUUUUUAGUUAUAAUUAACAAAAAUGAAAAUCAACAAGAAAAAUUCAUUUCUUCUCUUUCAACUAUUAUUAUAUAUAUUGUUUGCAAUUAUUAAUUUUGAGUAAAAUAAUUUUGAGUUCGAGAAUUCAAGUUAUUGACUCUCUUAUUUAUUACUUUUUAAUAUAUCUAUAAUCAUUAUUUAAAAAAAAAACUUUCUAUAAUUAAUAAAUAAUAGGUCUUAAAUAUGUGAAUGAUAAUGAUAAAUGUAUUAGAAAUAUUGAAAAAAUGCUCACUUAAAAUACAAAACAAACUAUGCAUCCAAAAUGAAAAGAGUUAAUAUAUAGUUUGUCCCUGAACUUGUUCCAUAAGGAACGUGUUAAGUGACAGUUUGUUUAGUGAAAAAAGCACUCAGCCUUAAGUAAUACUUAAUAAUAUCAUUUUCGUUAUUCUGUUUUUUCUUAUUUUAUAACUUCUUGAAUCUUAGAGACAAAAUUAAAGCCUUAAGGAUAAAAGAAUCAUGCAUAAAUCUUUUUCUUGCUCAAUAAUUUUCUAAGAACAGAUAUCAUCAUUAUUGUAAUAAUAUCAAUUUUAGAUUUUAAAUUAAGUCAAUAGAUGAGAAAACAUGAUGUGCUGUGUUGACUAGUUGGGAGUCACCCAAGAUGGUCUAACAUAAACCAUUCAACUAUCAUAAUGAAAAUGUUGUUUGAAUCGGACUGGAUUAAUUAGGGUAUUGAUCCAGAGAGUAAUUUUGAACCGAUACAAAUUGGUUAAAAAUUAAUUUUUAAUUGAAUCGAUUGAACCAAUUAAACUGAUCAAAUUAAUAAACCGAUGAUCUGACUAGUUCCAUCAUUAAUCUAAUUUAAAAUACAGUGAUAAAUUAAUGAGAAUGAAAAUUUUUAUGACUCCACUAUUAUUCACUAAUUAUUAAAUUACAUGAUAAUAUAGCAUCUAUUAGUUGUCAUAAUAUUUAAUAUGUGACGUAUGAAUUUUAAAACUAAUAACAACUUUUUUUUAAAAAAAAUAAAUCAAUUUUGUUUACUUAAAUUUUUUUAAAAUAUUUUUUCACGUAAAUUAUAUAAAAAAUUCAAUUAGUUGACUAAUAUUUAUAAAAUAAUUAAUAUCUUAUGCUCCUUCUUGAAGUUGUAAAACCCGAUCUGUAAAUUCUUCAAUCUCGACUUCUUUCACUUGAAACAAAGAAUAAUUUGUCAACAUAACUUUUUAUUGUAACCUGGUUGUGGAUUUUAUGUAUUUUUUAAAUUCUUUUACAUAUUUUUUGAAUUUUUAAUGUGCUUUAAUAAAAAAUAGAAUUUUUACCCAAACUUAUUUUGAAUAAUUUUCUAUUUUAGACUUUGAGAUUUUUUUUAAAAAAAAAUUAGAAUCAAGAUGUGUAAAUGUACAGGUGAAAUACAUUAUGUAUAAAUUAAUAAAAUGAUGUAUAACAUAAAAAUAAAUAAUUGGUAAUAAAAUAUUCUAUAGUCAAAUAAUAACAUAAACUUAAAAUUAGUAUUAAAUAUAUUUAUAUUACAAGUGAAAUAUAUUAUGUAUAAAUUAAUAACACGAUGUAUAACAUAAAAAUAAAUAAUUGAUAUUAAAAGAUAAUUGUAAAUUUUAUAAUUACAAUUGUAAAAUUUUUAUAACUUAUUAACUAAGCAUAUAUUAUAAUUUAAAAUUAAUAAGAAAUUAUUACAUCAAAUUCAUUAAUAAAUUUUUAUUUAACCAAACAACUCGUUGCAUCUGAUGAGGAAAUAAAAAAGUUUGAUAGAUUUAGUUGCAGCAGUUGGAUCAAAGUUAAACUGGGAUUAUGACUCUGUUCACAUCGUGAGAGGCGAGAAGGCGAGGAACCGGGACCUAUGGCCUAAUCUCGCCCAAGACACCUCGCCUGAUGCCCUUCUCUCGACCUUACAGAAUAAGAUUAAAGAUGGGAGGAAUGUUUAUAUAGUGAAAGAACUUGAUAAAGAAAUGAAAAUAUAUCUAGCCAAACAGAAGGAAAUAGAGAGAACAGAGAAUAAACUUCUUUUCUUUGUAUUCAAAAUUGCUUACUUCUGAAAUCCCAACGUACAGUAUUUAUAGACUUUGUUGACUAGUCUAAAACUGAGUAACAACCUUACCAGACUCACACAACUAACUAACAACUCCUAUACUCUAAUAUUCAUCCAUCUUCUCCACAGGCAACACCUUUAGAAAAUUCCUAAAACGAGUAAAACUCGAUAGCGAAAGCGGUUUAGUAAGAACAUCAGCGACUUGAUCACACGCUGGAACUUCACCAACAGCAACAGUACCGUCAGCAACCUUCUCACGAAAAAAAAUAAAUCUAACUCAACAUGCUUAAAUUUUGAAUGGAGAACAGGAUUGGCAGCAACCGCAACCGCCCCAGAACUGUCACACCAAAUAUUGGGAGUACUAUUUGAUUGAACAUGUAAUUCUUGAAGUAACAAUAAAAGCCACAUAACCUCACUAGUAACCGCGGCAAGACUUCGGUAUUCUGCCUCAGCAGUAGACCGAGCAACGACCUGUUGUUUCUUCGUACACCAUGACACAGGUGUAUGUCCGAAAUAGACACAGUAUCCAGUGGUGGAUCUCCGGUCAGCAAAAUCUAGUCCCCAGUUUGCAUCAGCAUAUCCAACUAAGGACAAAUCUGUGGACGGACGAAACACAAUCCCAAAAUUAAUCGUUCCACCUAGAUAUCUCAAAAUACGCUUCAAGGCGGUCAUAUGAAUGGAGGUGGGACAAUGCAUAAACUGACAUAUUCGAUUUACAGCAUAUGCAACAUCAAGUCGCGUAAGAGUGACAUACUGUAAAGCUCCUGCAAGACUCCUGUAUUCAGUCGAAUCAUCUAGUUGCUCACCACCAUCUCUAGUCAUAAUAGAAGAACUAAUCAUCGGUGUAUGAACACUCUUUGCAUUUUCCAUCGAACAACGUAUAAGAAUAUCAUGGAUAUACUUCUUCUGACAAAGAAAGAGACAACCUGACGAAGAACGAAUAACCUCGAUCCCAAGAAAGUAAUAGAGAUCACCCAUAUCCUUAAGCGAGAACUCACUAUUCAGUAAUCUAACAAACCACUCUAUAACAGAAGGCACAUCACCAGUAAUAAUGAUAUCAUCAACGUACACAAGAACAUACAAUGUUGAAUCUGGUACCACUCGAACAAAUAAGGAAGCGCCAGACUUUGAUACCACAAACCCCACAGAAACAAGAAAUCCUUUUAACUUCUCAAACCAGGCACGAGGAGCCUGACGAAGACCAUACAACGCUUUCUUCAGACGACACACCAAAGGUCUGCCAUCGGAGGCAUAUUGAACAUAAUCGGGAGGUUGAUGCAUAAAGACUUCAGUGUUAAGAUCGCCAUUUAGAAACGCAUUAUUCACAUCCACUUGCCGAAGCAACCACCCCCUAGACACAGCAAUAGACAAAAUAACUCUGAUAGUAGCCGGUUUGACCACUGGACUAAACGGUUCCUUAAAAUCACAACUUGAAACUUGAGAACAUCCUUUUGCGACUAAGCGAGCCUUAUGUCGAGCAACAGUACCAUCAGAAUUCUUCUUGAUCCUGAAUAACCAUUUGCACCCAAUGAUCUUACGAUUAGAUGGAGCAGGAACUAGCUCCCAUGUGGAAUUACGCAUAAGAGCAUCAUACUCAGCUUGCGCAGCAUCGCGCCAUUCAACAGUAGCUAGAGCUUCUUUAAUCGUAGUUGGUUCAACAGCUUCAACAUUCAAAACCUUAGGCUUGUAAACCCCCGCUUUAGCUCGAGUGACCAUUGGAUGAGUAUUACCCGUAGGUGGCCUACUAAUCGGACUAUCAGAUGCCGAUAAAACACCUGCAGACACUCGCAUAGUAGAAUGAAAGUGAGCAUUGUUAUCACUUGAUGAUCCCGAGCCAUGCACUACUGGAGGAUCACUCAACUCAGUCCCAUCAUUAGCUGACGAACCAUGAGUUGGAAGAUUACCCGACUCAGUCUCAACAUCAGCUGAAGAAUGAUGAGACUGAGACUGCUCCAAAUUAACAUCUAAUACAUGAUCAUGAGACUGAGAUUGCAACCCUUGUAAAGAUUGUGUCAUCAUGCAAGGCUCAAGAGACACGAGAGGAACAACAGUCGAACUAGUCUGACUAGUCGUCGACACAGACUUGUCUGGACUAGUCUCAGCAAACAGAAAUCGCUGCUCAUCAAAUACCACAUGCCGUGAAAUUAUAACCUUACCAUCUGAUAAAAGACAUUGAUACCCAUUGUGAUGAGGACUGUAGCCCAAAAAUGUAGACCGCUGAGAUUGAAAAUCCAACUUAUGACCUACAAACGGACGUAAGUAAGGAUAACAACAGUAGCCAAACACUCGAAGAUGAUCAUAGGUCGGAUCAUGUCCAUAUAGUGCCUUAAACGGAGAACUGUUCUGAAGGACAACAGUAGGAAGUCAAUUUAUAAGAUGAACCGCACAGCAAAACGCAUACCCCUAGUAUUCCAUAGGCAAAUUUUCGUGAGCCAACAAUGUAAUACCCACUUCAAUAAUGUGACGAUGUUUACGCUCAGCGACUCCAUUUUGUUCUGAAGUAUACAGACAUGCCAAUCGAUGUAUGAUUCCUUGAGAUUCUAGGACACACGUAAAACCACGGUAUUCGCCUCCCCAAUCACUCUGGAACUGCUUAAUAGACUCACCAAACUGUGUCUUAUUUAACUGUUGAAACUGAGUGAAGCAUUCUAGUGCUUGAGCUUUUUGACGUAAAAGAUAAACCCAAGUAAACCGAGAAUACAUAUCAAUAAACGAAACAUAAUAUCUUUUAUCACCACAUGCAACAGGUGCAGGACCCCAAAGAUCAGACACAACCAACUCAAAAGGACAAUAGCUAGUAGUCGAAGGUGAGAAAGGCAACUUAUGUGACCUGCCUUUUUGACAUGCAGUACAUAUACCAUCCAAACUAUUUUUACUUGAAGCAACAUUACAUUUAUUUAAAACUGUUUUGACUACAGAAGUUGAUAGGUGGCCUAAACGAUAAUGCCAUAAAGCAAACACAUUAUUAUUUAAAACUGCAUGUGGAACUUGCGAAUGAGCAACAAAUGGGGCACCCGUAGACGAAGUAGAACCCACUGGCACAGAAAACUGAUAUAGUCCAUCAUGAAUGCGGCUCGUCAGCAACGUCUCCCGAGUCACCGUAUCCUUAAUAACACAAUGGUUAGGAUGAAACUCAAAAAACACAUCAUUAUCCCGAGCAAACUGUGAGACGGACAAGAGGUUUUUUCGUAUACUUGGCACACAUAAGACAUUUGAUAAUCGUAAUGGUUUAUACUGAGUAGAUAAAAUAGCAGUAUCAAUUGACGAAAUUACCGCAGGAGUACCAUCACCCAUUAAAAGAGAUGACGUACCUGAAUAUGGCGCGACAUCACGUAGAGCUGACACAUCACGACAGACAUGAUGACUCGCUCCCGAGUCAGGAUACCAAGAUGUGGUGCUACCUCGCACUGGUACGUACGGAGCAUCAUUACUAGUACUAAACCCAAGUUGAGCAGUAUUGACAUGAGAGCCGGAUUCUGAAGGAUCAGAAUAAUCAGAUGCGCGUAAGUCCCCUAGCUGAGGAAGUCCAAUACACGGUUCGGUCCCAGUAUAAACCCGAGCACGCGGUUUGGUAAAGCGCAUAACUCGAUCAACACCAAUCGGUUCAGGCGAGUCGGGAUCACUUUGAUCGACUUGAACAAAAUUAGAUGAAGGAACCCCAUUUACAUUUGGGUCAAUAUUCGGCCCAUUAGUAGAAUUUGCCACAUUCGGCCCUUGCAAUCCACGCCGUCCAUUUCCAGCAACAAAAUCCAAUGGGGCAUUUCCAUUAAACCCAUUGUUAUUGAAAACAGGCCCAUCAUCAUGACUAAAGUGACGCAAGCUAGACUUAAAAGUAUUCCCAUAUGGCCUGCCAAUUCGUUUGGAUAUGACACCCGUGGCCCACGUGCCAAUUUGUCAUUUUGCAAACAAUUUUGACCACCAUUUCUAUUUUGACUUGCAUAGUACCCUUGGCUAUAAACUGUUCUCUGACUUUUGGGAUAAGGAGCCACAUAUUUUUCUUCUUCUUCUUCUUGCGCACACGGUCCAAACUCAGCUCGCUCAACACUCGACGGAACCCCUUGACAAGAUACCGACGGCACCACAGAAGAAGUAUUCGAGUCUCUAUGAUAACGGUAAUAACACUUUUGAGCCAUAUGACCGAAUCGGCUACAGAUCUGGCAUUGAAUGCGAGAUCGGAAAGUUUUUCCACGGUCGCGAACAGACGUACGACCGCCACGACUGCCUCCUUCAACUGACGGUGCAUCCUCAACUAGAUUUGCGUUCAAAGUUACCUCCUGCGACACUUGAGCAUGACGACUUUCACAAUCAACUAAAGCAUCAACCAAACAUUGUAAUGGUAGAACGGCAGUCGACAGCCUAGCGGAGGAGAUAACCGCCUCAAACUUUGACGGCAAUCCCGCGAGCAUCACUUCGAUUUUCUCUUCAUCAGAGAGACGAGAGCCAGAGGCAUCUAACAUAGCACACAGAUCUUUAAUUUUAGCAACAUAAGCUUUAAUGGAAAUGUUACCUUUCUUCAAGGAAUGAAGCUCAUGCCGAAGUCUUGACUGCUUAGCACCGGUGUCAGCUGCAAACAGAUUAAUAGCCGUGUUCCACAUAUCACACGCCGUGCACGCAUCAUCAAAAGACGAUUGAAGAAAUGUACUUACAGUUAACAAUAGCCAUGAAGUUAGAAGCCUAUCUUGCUGCGUGAACACCUGUGCUGCCGGAUUUGGAGCACGAGAUCCAUCUGGCAGAGAUACAAACCUCGAUGGCGGAACAAUGGUGCCAUCUAAAAAACCUGUAAGUCCAUAUCCAUCCACUAUUAAUUUGAUCUGUUUGCGCCACUGAAUAUAGGUGCCUUCAUCGAGCUUAACCACUUCAUGUCGAGGAAGACCAGUCGUGACACGAUCACCGGAGAACACACCAGAGCUAGACUCACCAGUUGCGAAAUCAGCGGAAGCCAUGAUAGACAAGAUCCAGAAUCAAAUGGUGAAUGAUACCAUGAAAGAACUUGAUAAAGAAAUGAAAAUAUAUCUAGCCAAACAGAAGGAAAUAGAGAGAACAAAGAAUAAACUUCUUUUCUUUGUAUUCAAAAUUGCUUACUUCUGAAAUCUCAACGUACAGUAUUUAUAGACUUUGUUGACUAGUCUAAAACUGAGUAACAACCUUACCAGACUCACACAACUAACUAACAACUCCUAUACUCUAAUAUAUAGCAACAAAUGAAGCUGAAACAUCCUUCUUUGAACCUUUAAAACACAAAUAUACCACUCCUUAAUGACUAUAAGGAACUUUGGGAUCAAAACAAUAAGUGGUAUUCAGACACAGCAAAGCUUAACAAUGGAGCUCCCCUCGACUUCAACGUUUACAUGAGGGCCUCUGUUGAUGCAGAUCCUUUCUUGAGAGGGAAUAAACAAAUCGAAACAUUCAACGAUUGUAAAGAUGGUGUAAACACCUGCAAUAUUACAGCCAUUUAAUCCUUAUAGUGAUGUCUUAAACUUCAUUGCAACAUUUGGGUAUGUUGUAAUUGUAGUUGUAACUAGUUUCUUCGUUACCUUUUAAUAAUAAACUGCAUCACUUGACAUUGCUUUGUCAACUACUUUUUGAUCAACCGUACUCAUAUUGUAAUCGAGGGGUGGAAUUUGCCUUCUACAUUCUGAUUAAAAAAAUAGAUUAAAUUAUGAGAAAAAUAAAAUUUAAAUACAUAAAUAUAUUAUAUUAAGAAUACUAAAUACAAUAAAAUUAUUUAUCAUAUUAUUAUUAAUUAUCUUUAGUUGGUGUGAGUUAGCUUGUGAUAACAACUUAAUCAACAAGAGAUAUUACACUAUUCUUACAAAUAAAAAGAAAAUUUUUGUUUAUUUUAAAGAGAUAUUACUUUUUACAAGAGUUAUUUUCUUUCUAAUUUCAAAUUUAUUUUUUCACUAACUAUUCUUUAUUUUAUGUCUACUUAUUGUAGUAUAUACAUAAUAAAUAAAUUUUUCCCCUCAUGUUAUUACUAUUAAAGAUAUCAACACCAGAACACCAACACCAACAUGUGGUCUGACCAAGUUUAUGUCCAUAUUUUCUUUGUUUAUUUAUUAGCUAUUUUUGGUUAUUUAGUUGUUUGGUUGUUACCAAAUUUUUAGUGAAUAUGUUUUGCCUAUAAAUAAGUCUUUGCUAAGCCUAUAAAUAUGCAGUCAUUUCAUUGAAUAAUAUAAUCAUCCCUUUGCAGUCUUAUUCUUCGUGUGAGUUAUAUGUUCUUUUUAUUUUUUGUCAUUUGUCAGCUAUUAGUUCUACAAUUACACUAGUAACCAAACAAUUUGGACCUCCAAUAAUCAAAGGUAUUAUCCUCGUGUCAGGUUUUGUCCCCAACCUCCAUGUAGAGUAACGUAUGGUUCACAAAGGAGGGCACCUUUGUUGGUGGAGAUAAAUACUUGCAAGACUCGAGAAAUGUGUCAGUAUUAAACGUGUGAAUAAUAAUGGAGGUACUUAAGCGCAUCAUAGCUCGAACCACUAACAUAAGCUUAAGACUAACAUAUUUGCAAAUUUGAUAUAACUUGAGCUACAAAACCUUGACGCACGAAUAAUAAUACUUAAUUGAGGUUCGAAUUUAAAUAAUUUUACUCAAAUAAUUUACGAAUUAAAUUUUUCAAACAAAUUUACGGAUUCAAAUAAUUAAAAAAUUACAAAUAUGCAACCUGCUCCUAUUCCUGGUUAAUUCGGUUCUCUUUAGGAACAAUUUCAUUACAACUGUAUUUCUGUUACCUAAAAAAAUUGCAAUCCAUGAAGUUUUCCUUUUUAAUAUUUCAACCACAUUCGUUUUACAUUAAUAAGAAUUGUACAUAAUAAUCAUACCUUAAAUUCGUGAUUCAACAGAAGGCCAAAAAGAUAAUAAAUAAAUAAAAAGGGAAAAAGACAAAUUAACAUUCAUAAUUAUAUAUUUAAAAAAACACACUCAUAUAAACACUUACUAGUACUGCGUCAAAUUAAGCAUUGACUUAAUUCAUCCUACCCCUCCUCCGAUUCUGCAUCUUUCUUCCAAAAUACUUGACAAACAACUUAUGUUUCAUCGGGUUGAAGAGGUAACCGAGAACUAGUCCAUUCACUACCCCACUUCCAUAUCCCAACAUGAUUGCUUUCCACCCAAGUUGGAGCCAUGAAUCUUCACCAUCAUCUUUCUUUGACAAUGACGGCGGCGGUGGUGAUAAGCCUUUGGGAUAGCAUUUCUUUGACAAUGGAUUUCCACAUAAUCCUAGGUUGCCCUCAAAUGAGUUGUUUUCGAACGUACCAAAUUGUUUGCCUUGCGGUAUGGGUCCGGUCAGCUGAUUAUGAGAGACAUUAAAAAAUCCAAGGAAAGUGAGUUGCACCAGCUCUUGAGGGAUCUCCCCGGAGAGCUUGUUUCGAGAAAGGUCCAAAGCUUGGAGGUUAGAGAGAUUUGCCAAUGAUGAUGGAAUUGGACCUGAAAGAAAAUUGUUGGAAAGGUUGAGGAACUGAAGUGCCUUUACCAUUUGAAUGUCUUCUGGAAUGCAGCCAUCAAAUUUAUUACUUGACAGAUCAAUGGCUACCAAGAAAUCUUGAAUCUUCUCGUAUUUUAAUUCCACGCCUGCCUUUGUCAUUGUCAUUGAGUAGGAAAAGUCGAUAGUCCAAUGUGUUUCUCUUCCUUCAAAACUAACGUCUGCCUUUAAGUACCUUAAGUUGCCAACAUCAACUACUUUCAUGGCCUUCCAUAUUUGGAAGUGACGAGAUGGCAAACAACCUGUCAAUUUAUUGAAGGAAAGAUCAAGAAUUUGCAACUUUGGAAACUCAUUGGAUUUUGGUUCUCCAAUUGCACCAUGAAAUCCAUUAUGUCGUAGGAUGAGAAUUUUCAACUCUUGAAGCCUUCCCAACCAAGAGGGAAACGUAUCCUCUAUUUGAUUAUUUCCCAAAUUAAGAAGCUCUAGCAUGUUGCAAUUAACCAGUGAUCUCGGAAUACGUCCAUUCAAUUGAUUUUGACUAAGAUCAAUCAUCCUCAAUGUGUUUCCUUUUUCACAUGCUCGAGGAAUAGGGCCACUAAAGUUAUUGUUUUGGAGAUUUAGUACUGAAAGUGAUUCGCUUAGGUUGCCCAAACAUGGCGGAAGCAUGCCGCUGAAGCUAUUAUUUGAUAGGUCAAGUACAGUUAUAGAAGUCAGGUUGCAUAUCCCUGAUGAGAUUUCUCCCUUGAGUAGGUUGUUUGAGACACAAUAUUGGUAAAUGGAAGCGGGUAGAUUUGGUAGGGACCCUUGUAGCAUGUUAUAACUAAGGUCCAACUUUCUUAGAAUGGUCCAUGAAGGGACAACAGUUGGUUCGUCGAAACCUGUAAGAAAGUUUUCACUUAAAUAUAAAACUUGAAGAGUUUGACCAGAUAAGCCCCAUAUCCAUUUGGGGAUACACCCAUGGAUUUUGUUACCACCAAGAUCAAGAAGCUCCAGUUUGUCUUGACUCGAAAGUAAACUCGGGAACUUGGAUAAGUUGCAAGAAGCCAAUGUUAAGAAGGUAAACUUUGGAACAGUAACAUUAAUAACAGUUGUACUGAGCAAUGAAAACUGAUUACUAGACAGUUG
rnacentral:lncRNA from 1 species